AAUGAGACCCACCACAGUCGUGUCAUCUGCAAACUUAAUAAAGAGGUUGGAGUUGUGUGACGGUGUGCCGUCGUGGGUCAGCAGAGUGAAGAGGAGGGGGCUCAGCACACAUCCUUGGGGGGCCCCAGUGUUCAGUGUGAUAGUGCUGGAUGUGUUGCUGCCGAUCCGUACUGCCUGAGGUCUUCCAGUCAGAAAGUCCAACAGCCAGUUGCACAGCGAAGUGUUGAGUCCCAGCUGGACCAGUUUGUAAAUGAGCUGUUGAGGUAUGAUUGUGUUGAAUGCUGAACUGAAGUCUAUGAACGGCAUUCUGACUUAUGAGUCCUUUUUGUCGGUAUGUGUGAGAACUGCAGCACUAGCCAAGAAAUCACAGCAGCGUCUCUACUUCCUCCGCAAACUGAGGAGAGCCAGAGCCCCACCCCCCAUCAUGUACACCUUCUACAGAGGCACCAUCGAGAGCAUCCUGACUAGCUGCAUCACUGUGUGGUAUGGCGCCUGCAACGCGUCCUGCCGGAAGACUCUGCAACGCAUAGUGAGAGCAGCUGCCAUCAGGCUGUCAGGAAGCUGAACUCGCUCCCGAACUUGCCCCCCGUCCCUCUUCUGCCCCAGGCACCACUGAACUAUGAACCCCCCCCCAGACCCCACAUCUCCAGGUCCUUCCACCCCCCCUCCCUCUAACAUACGAUGACAUGCACCAGUCACUUUGUGCAGCAUUGGUCUGCUCACUACCUCAUUCACCAUGGAACUGACGUCAUUCUACCACCUCAUCAGUCAGUUUAAAUAAAAUAACUGCUCUUGAGCCCUUUGUCACUUUAAUCAGACUGAAAAAGCUAUUUUUUUAUGCACUAAAAAUCUUUUUAUCUGCACUGUUUGUUCACUGGUUUGCACUCUAUCUGCCAUGUGCCUUGCGCUGCUUUUAUUUAACCUUAUUUUUAUUUUAUUUUUUUCUAUUAUGUCUUUUUUACAUACCCUUAUUGUAUAGUUUUAUCUUAUAUUUUAUAUUUGAUCUAGAUUUUUAGGCUCUGUUAUCUGUAUGCACCGGGGGUCUGAGAGUAACGCAAUUUCGAUUCUCUGUAUGUAUGUACUGUACAUGUGGAAGAAUUGACAAUAAAGCAGACUUGAACUUGAACUUGAACUAAGUGGAGGGCAGUUGCGAUGGUGUCAUCGGUCGAGCGAUUGGACCGAUAUGCAAACUGGAUGGGGUCCAGGGAGAGGAGGGAGGGCAGAUUUGAUAUGGUGCAUGACUAGCCGUUCAAAGCACUUCAUGAGGAUGGGAGUAAGUGCAACUGGACGGUAGUCAUUGAAACAGGAUGGAGAUGGCUUCUUUGGGACUGGAAUGAUGGUGGUAACUUUGAAGCAUGUGGGAACAACAGCCUGACUAAGCAAGAUGUUGAAAAUGUCUGUGAAGACAUCAGUGAGUUCCACUGCACAGUCUCUCAGUACACGCCCAGGGAUGUUGUCAGGGAUACUGUCCCUUAGCAUUCCGCGUCUUCAAGAGUCUGUAGACCUCCCUUGUCAUCCACGGCUUCUGGUUGGCCUGGACAGUGAUGGUCUUUGUGACUAUUACAUCAUCAGUACACUUGGUGAUCUAGGCAGUGACAGUCUCUGAGUACUCUUGGAGGUCUGUGGUGUUAUUGUAUGUGGAAGCCUGCUUAAACAUAUUCCAGUCAUUUAUUUUAAAACAGUCUUGAAGAGCCUCUGACGACCCUUCCGGCCACACUUGAAUUUGUUUGUGAACUGGUUUGGCGAAUUUAACAAGUGGUCUGUAUGCAGGCAUUAGAAUGACAGUGAUGUGGUCUGAGGCACCGAGCUGGGGGAGGGGGAGUGCUUUGUAAGCUCCUCUCUGUGUGGUAUAAACAAAGUCUAAAAUGUUUUUACCUCUUGUUGGAAAGUUAAUGUGUUGGUGUAUUUUUGGAAACACACUCUUUAAGUCUGCAUGGUUGCAAUCCCCAGCUAUGAUGAGAAAAGCAUCUUUCUGCUGCUCACUGAUGUGCUGGUACAGUUAAUUUAGUGCAUUGUUCCUGUUGCUGUUGUUGUUGUUCAGAGGAAUGUAUACAGAAACGAGCAGUAUGGCUGUAUAUUCCCUCGGUAGAUAGAACAGCCGGCACUUAAUAAUCAUAAACUCCACCAGGGGUGAGCAGUGUUUGUAGACCACAACAGCAUUGCGGCACCACGCGUCAUUGAUGUAAACACAAAGCCUGCCACCGCUUUCUGGUCCGGCUUUCUCAAGCCAACUUAAAGUUUGUCUUGACAAACUUUUUUGUCGAGAUGGCCAGUCAAAUAAAAAAAUACGGGUCUUACUGUCGGUGUCACAAUGCAAGUUUGUGGAAAAAUGUAACUAGUAGCCUACUGUAUUAGCUAUAAAACUGUUUUACGAUAGAAAUGUUUAGCGACCGACAAUAGACUAUCUAGUGAUGCAAACUACUCAACCUUUUAUGAAAUUUUGCCGUUUUAAAUUGAAAAUAUGCAAUAUGCUAAUGAUUCAUGUAAAUCAUAAAUAAAUGUGACAACAGAUGUUUGCGUUUUCGACUAUUAAUAUGAACAAGAGUGAGUGUUCACGUUAAAAUAAAUUAUUAUUUUAAAAUAGUGCAAAUUUAUUACUUCAUACGAAGAGUUCAGAUGCAAAAGCCUCUAAGUGCCAUUUGAAAUUUUCUUCUAAAGUGAGCAUUUUUAUCAGGCUCCCAUGUGUAGGUUCAGUAAUUUCACUUUAAUGGCAAUGAAUAAUUUCUUUUCUUUCCCAUUAAAGUAAAAUAACUGAACAUAAACACAUAGGAGCA
ensembl:lncRNA